CCGAGUGCUUGCACUCAAUUGGAAAGAGGAGUGGCGGACGGGUGAGUAACACGUGGGUAACCUACCCAUCAGAGGGGGAUAACACUUGGAAACAGGUGCUAAUACCGCAUAACAGUUUAUGUCGCAUGGCAUAAGAGUGAAAGGCGCUUUCGGGUGUCGCUGAUGGAUGGACCCGCGGUGCAUUAGCUAGUUGGUGAGGUAACGGCUCACCAAGGCCACGAUGCAUAGCCGACCUGAGAGGGUGAUCGGCCACACUGGGACUGAGACACGGCCCAGACUCCUACGGGAGGCAGCAGUAGGGAAUCUUCGGCAAUGGACGAAAGUCUGACCGAGCAACGCCGCGUGAGUGAAGAAGGUUUUCGGAUCGUAAAACUCUGUUGUUAGAGAAGAACAAGGACGUUAGUAACUGAACGUCCCCUGACGGUAUCUAACCAGAAAGCCACGGCUAACUACGUGCCAGCAGCCGCGGUAAUACGUAGGUGGCAAGCGUUGUCCGGAUUUAUUGGGCGUAAAGCGAGCGCAGGCGGUUUCUUAAGUCUGAUGUGAAAGCCCCCGGCUCAACCGGGGAGGGUCAUUGGAAACUGGGAGACUUGAGUGCAGAAGAGGAGAGUGGAAUUCCAUGUGUAGCGGUGAAAUGCGUAGAUAUAUGGAGGAACACCAGUGGCGAAGGCGGCUCUCUGGUC
rnacentral:rRNA from 1 species